AUCUCUGUAGAGUCUGCAUAUCAAUAAGCGGAGGAAAAGAAACUAACAAGGAUUCCCCUAGUAACGGCGAGCGAAGCGGGAAGAGCUCAAAUUUGAAAUCUUAAAGGGUUUCCCUUUACGAAUUGUAGUUUAAAGAAGUGUUUUCUGUUGGAGUUUCGGUAAAAGUUCUUUGGAAUAGGACAUCAUAGAGGGUGAGAAUCCCGUAUUUGACCGUUACUUUCCAGCUGUGUGAUACACUUUCAAAGAGUCGGAUUGUUUGGGAAUGCAGUCCAAAAUGGGUGGUAAAUUUCAUCUAAAGCUAAAUAUUGGCGAGAGACCGAUAGCGAACAAGUACCGUGAGGGAAAGAUGAAAAGAACUUUGAAAAGAGAGUUAAACAGUACGUGAAAUUGUCAAAAGGGAAGCGUUUGACACCAGUGUUGUUUAGUUGAAAAUCAAUUCAAUAAUUUUUGAUUUUAAGUAGUAUUGACUUCAUCAGCUUGCUGCUUUCUUUUCCGAAAUUAUUGAAUGCACUUUUCAGUUAACAAGUCAACAUCAAUUUCUUUUGUUGUAAAAGGGUAAGAGGAAGGUGGCUUACGCUUCGGCGUAAGUGUUUAUAGCCUUUUACCUCUGCAAUCGGAGAGAUUGAGGACAGCAGCGUAGACUCCUUCGGGGGUUAGAUACACUUGUGCUAAGCUAUAGCCUUGUAUAGACAACUUGUUGACUAUGCUCAGUCAUGUAGCUUACUCGCUUGUGCUAUUUUACCUACGCUUAGGAUGUUGAACGCGCACAGAGUCUC
rnacentral:rRNA from 1 species